rnacentral:rRNA from 1 species
UACGGGGGGGGCAAGCGUUGUUCGGAAUUACUGGGCGUAAAGGGCUCGUAGGCGGCCAAUUAAGUCGGACGUGAAAUCCCUCGGCUUAACCGGGGAACUGCGUCCGAUACUGGAUGGCUUGAGUUUGGGAGAGGGAUGCGGAAUUCCAGGUGUAGCGGUGAAAUGCGUAGAUAUCUGGAGGAACACCGGUGGCGAAGGCGGCAUCCUGGACCCAACACUGAACGCUGAUGAGCGAAAGCCAGGGGGAGCAAACGGG